GACGAACGCUGGCGGCGUGCUUAACACAUGCAAGUCGAACGGAAAGGCCCCUUUGGGGGUACUCGAGUGGCGAACGGGUGAGUAACACGUGAGUAACCUGCCCUUGACUUCGGGAUAACUUCAGGAAACUGGGGCUAAUACCGGAUAGGAAUCCUUGCUGCAUGGUGGGGGUUGGAAAGCUUCGGCGGUUUUGGAUGGACUCGCGGCCUAUCAGCUUGUUGGUGGGGUAGUGGCUUACCAAGUCUUUGACGGGUAGCCGGCCUGAGAGAGCGACCCGCCACAUUGGGACGGAGUUACGGCCCAGACUCCUACGGGAGGCAGCAGUGGGCAAUAGUGCACCAUGGGCGGACGCCUGAUGCAGCAACGCCGCGUGCGGGAUGACGGCCUUCGGGUUGUAAACCGCUUUCAGCGGGGGCGAAGCUUGUGGUGACGGUACCGGCAGAAGAAGCACCGGCAAACUUCGU
rnacentral:rRNA from 1 species